AGGAGAAUUUUCAAACUUGUAGAAUAAUCUCACAACAUCAGAAGCAAAACUUUUGGCGAGUUUUUAAACAGGAGCAUUUCCAAACUUAUGGAAUGAUCUAACAACAUCAGGGUCAAAACAUUUGGAGACAUUUACAAAAGGAGAAUUUCCAAACUUGUGGAAUAAUCGCACAACAUCAGAAGAAAAAGUUUGGCGACUUUUAUAAACAGGAGAAUUUCUCAACUUGUGGAAGAAUCUUUAAACAGAAGAACAAAAACUUUCGGCGACUUUUACAAGGUUUGGACCUACUUAAAAAAAAAACUUCAAGCCGAACAAAACCCUGGAUUUUUU